rnacentral:rRNA from 1 species
UACGUAGGGGGCAAGCGUUGUCCGGAAUCAUUGGGCGUAAAGCGCGUGUAGGCGGCCAUCCAAGUCUGGUGUGAAAGCUCGGGGCUCAACCCCGAGUCUGCACUGGAAACUGAAUGGCUUGAGUCCGGAAGAGGAGACUGGAAUUCCUGGUGUAGCGGUGAAAUGCGCAGAUAUCAGGAAGAACACCGGUGGCGAAGGCGGGUCUCUGGGACGGUACUGACGCUGAGACGCGAAAGCGUGGGGAGCAAACAGGAUUAGAUACCCUGGUAGUCCACGCCGUAAACGAUGGGCACUAGGUGUGGGAGGUGUCGACUCCUUCCGUGCCGUAGCUAACGCAUUAAGUGCCCCGCCUGGGGAGUACGGCCGCAAGGCUAAA